rnacentral:rRNA from 1 species
GAUGAACGCUGGCGGCGUGCCUAAUACAUGCAAGUCGAGCGAACGGACGAGAGGCUUGCUUCUCUGAUGUUAGCGGCGGACGGGUGAGUAACACGUGGAUAACCUACCUAUAAGACUGGGAUAACUUCGGGAAACCGGAGCUAAUACCGGAUAAUAUUUUGAACCGCAUGGUUCAAAAGUGAAAGACGGUCUUGCUGUCACUUAUAGAUGGAUCCGCGCUGCAUUAGCUAGUUGGUAAGGUAACGGCUUACCAAGGCAACGAUGCAUAGCCGACCUGAGAGGGUGAUCGGCCACACUGGAACUGAGACACGGUACAGACUCCUACGGGAGGCAGCAGUAGGGAAUCUUACGCAAUGGGCGAAAGCCUGACGGAGCAACGCCGCGUGAGUGAUGAAGGUCUUCGGCUCGUAAAACUCUGUUAUUAGGGAAGAACAUAUGUGUAAGUAACUGUGCACAUCUUGACGGUACCUAAUCAGAAAGCCACGGCUAACUACGUG